rnacentral:misc_RNA from 1 species
GUAUUCAAAUUUAUUUUUGGUCUUCCAAAAAUUUGAUGUUUUCAGGCUUGCUUCGAGAAAAAGCAAGAAAAGUUUGUCAAGAUGAAAGAAAAAAAACUCUGGCAGCGCCGGAAGGAAAGGGAGGCGAGAAAAGGCAGAGUUUGUCUCCCCCUCCUUCUCUUCCCCCCCUUUCCCUCCACAGAGAAAAGACGGUAAAGUAUUCUCUCCCAGCAAACUGCCAAAGCAAACAUGUCAAUGAUGUGCACACGAAGGUGGAUAUGGAUUUGAACCAUCCAUAUGCAAAGGAAAAAUGGACAAUUGUUAAUGAUCCUUCCGCAGGUUCACCUACGGAAA